GGGUCAUCCUAUCAUUUGAUCCCAGAGUUCCGUGGGGCUCGUGCACAGUGGAAUUUCACUGACCAUUUGGUCAAACCCAACGGUUUCAAGGCUCCCCCUCAGCUCCCCUAUAUAAGCCUGACCCACCGCUGGCCAGUGUGUGGGUCAAUAGAAGCUGGAGAGGAGCACUAUCUUCAAGGAUUUAACGGACAAUCCAUUAUCAAGGACAUUCACAUUCGUCUUGCCGUGCGUCUUUGUGAAUAAACCACGGUUCAAACACGGAUUAUAUCAGUCAGUUCACGGUCAUUUACGGAUAAUUCAAUCACAGUUCAUCGUCAUUCAUGUCCAUCCUGCCAUUCAAGGCUUGAGUGUGUGCAAUAAAUACUUCAUUACAUCUGUCAUCAUUGGGACAUUGACAUCAUUCUAGUUCUAACCGGACAGACCUGUGGCGAUUGUCACCUUUUUCACAACUAGCAAUACAGUCCUUUUUGGGGUUUAUUCAACUCAACAUCCCCCUAUUUUAUAAUGGUCCUGGUUCACGGAGGAUGCCAUCUCCACGGCACUACACUACACUACACUUUUCACCUGGACAAUAACAACACCUAUGUGAGAAUGCUGUUCAUAGACUUCAGUUCAGCUUUCAACACCAUCAUCGGAGUGGUGCGCCGACAAUAACCUGGCUCUCAACACCAAGAAGACCAAAGAGCUCAUCGUGGACUUCAGGAAGAAAGGUGGCACACACACUCCCAUCCAUAUCAACGGGACAGAGGUUGAGCUGGUCGCCAGCUUCAAGUCCCAGGGUGUCCACAUCUCUGAGGACCUCUCUUGGACCCUCAACACCUCAACCCUGGUCAAGAAGGCACACCAGCGUCUCUUCUUCCUAAAGGAGACUGAAGAAGGCCCAUCUGUCUCCUCAGAUUCUGGUGAAUUUCUACCGCUGUCCCAUCGAGAGCAUCCUUACCAACUGCAUCUCAGUAUGGUAUGGCAGCUGCUCUGUUGCGGACCGGAAAACACUACAGAGGGUGGUGAAAACGUCCGUUCCCGGACCAGCAGGUUCAGGAACAGCUUCUUCCCUGCACCACGGUGAUAGCCCCCCCCCCCCCACACACACACACCCCCUCCAGUGACUAUACUUCUCCCCUCCACCCUGGCUUGGACUGCCACACACCCUCCUUCAGCCACUGAACAUUUGCACUAGACUGUUGUUUUUUACUACUGUAUUAUCCCACGUAUAGUGUAUUCAUAUUUAUAUCUAUUUAUAUACUUAUCUUGCC
ensembl:lncRNA